GUGUUGUAUGAAAGGAGAGAAGAUUAGCACUCCCCUUGCCAAGGAUGGAAGAGGCCCUCCAGCCUGACAAACGCAUACAGUUAAGGCAUUUCCACCUGCUUUGUGGAAUCUAACCACUGUUUUUA